rnacentral:tRNA from 1 species
GCAUCUAUUUUUGAGCGGUUAGGGAGAUUGAUUAGAAAUCAAUUGGGCUUUGCCUGCGCAGGUUCAAAUCCUGCUGGAUAUG